rnacentral:rRNA from 1 species
UACGGGGGGAGCAAGCGUUGUUCGGAUUUACUGGGCGUAAAGGGCGCGUAGGCGGCCACCGCAAGUCGAUUGUGAAAUCUCCGGGCUUAACCCGGAAAGGUCAACCGAUACUGCGGGGCUAGAGUGCAGAAGGGGGCAACUGGAAUUCUCGGUGUAGCGGUGAAAAUGCGUAGAUAUCGAGAGGAACACCUGCGGCGAAGGCGGGUUGCUGGGCUGACACUGACGCUGAAGUGCGAAAGCUAGGGGAGCGAACGGG